AUUGAACGCUGGCGGCAUGCCUUACACAUGCAAGUCGAACGGUAACAGGUCUUCGGAUGCUGACGAGUGGCGAACGGGUGAGUAAUACAUCGGAACGUGCCCAAUCGUGGGGGAUAACGUAGCGAAAGUUACGCUAAUACCGCAUACGAUCUACGGAUGAAAGCGGGGGAUCGCAAGACCUCGCGCGAAUGGAGCGGCCGAUGUCAGAUUAGGUAGUUGGUGGGGUAAAGGCUCACCAAGCCGACGAUCUGUAGCUGGUCUGAGAGGACGACCAGCCACACUGGGACUGAGACACGGCCCAGACUCCUACGGGAGGCAGCAGUGGGGAAUUUUGGACAAUGGGCGCAAGCCUGAUCCAGCCAUUCCGCGUGCAGGAUGAAGGCCUUCGGGUUGUAAACUGCUUUUGUACGGAACGAAAAGGCUCUGGUUAAUACCUGGAGUUUAUGACGGUACCGUAAGAAUAAGCACCGGCUAACUACGUAGCCAGCAGCCGCGGUAAAACG
rnacentral:rRNA from 1 species